GAAAUGAACAGAGGAGGCGGCAGCAGGGAGGUAGCCAAAACGCAGUGGGAGAGAUUUAAGUUAUAUGGGAGAUGCAAUGAAUUCAUGUGUUAACAGAAAGGGGUCCUGAUUCAGACACCAAAAGAGGGUUCUUGAAUCUCAUGCCAGAAAGAUUUCGGGAUUCUCACCCUGUUGCCUAGGCUGGAGUGCAGUGACGCGAUUUUGGCCUAAUGCAGCCUCUGCCUCCCAGGUUCAAGCGAUUCUUCCGCCUCAGCCUCCCUAGUAACUGGGAUUACAGCAAAUCUAAUUGAGAAAAAAACCAACCAGAGUCAGUGUCCAGUAAUGGCUCUGCAAUGCGCAGCCUCCGAAUGUGACGACCACAGGCUCUGCUUGCCUUUUACCUGACUGCCAGCACCCUGCAGAGCAGCAUCAAAGUUCUGGAGGCCAGAAAUUUGAAAUGAGUCUUAUGGAGCUGAAAUCAAGCACAAACCAAAGCUGGGCUUCAUCUGGAUGCUCUAUGAAAGAUUCCUUUGCUCGCCUCUUCCAAUUCCUGGUGGUUGCUGGCAUUCCUUGCAUUGUAGACUCGUCAUCCCAACGUCUUCCUCCUUGGCCCCAUUGCCUUCUCCUCUCCUGUGUGGGCAUCAUCAACUCUCCCUUUCCCUCCCUCUUAAAAGGAUAUGAAUGUGACUGCUUUAGGACCUACCUGGAUAAUUCAGAAUAAUCUCCCCAUCUCAAGACCCUUAACAUAAUCACAUAUGCAAAGAACUUCUCUUUUCUUUAAUCAUAUGAGUUAACAUGUACAAAUUUCAGAGAUGAGAACAUGGAUAUCUUUAGGGUGCCAUUUUUUCAGUCCAUUGGAAAUGGUAGAUGUGGAAGAAGAGGAGCUAAAAUUCAAUCAGACUAGGGGUCUGCAAUCUGUAGCCUGCAAGUCAGUGCCUGUUUUUGUAAAUAAAGUUUUAUUGGAGCACA
rnacentral:lncRNA from 1 species